AUACGGAGGACGCGAGCGUUAUCCGGAUUCAUUGGGUUUAAAGGGUGCGCAGGCGGCCGUGCAAGUCAGCGGUGAAAGCCCGGGGCUCAACCCCGGAAGUGCCGUUGAUACUGCAUGGCUGGAAUGCGGUCGAGGCGGGCGGAACGGGGCGUGUAGCGGGGAAAUGCGUAGAUAUGCCACAGAACGCCGAUAGCGGAGGCAGCUCGCCAGGCCUGCAGUGACGCUCGGGCACGAAAGCGUGGGGAUCGAACAGGAUUAGAUACCCUGGUAGUCCACGCCGUAAACGAUGGGCGCUCGUCGUCGGCGGCAGACAGUCGGCGGCCAAGCGAAAGCGAUAAGCGCCCCACCUGGGGAGUACGGUCGCAAGGCUGAAACUCAAAUGAAUUGACGGGG
rnacentral:rRNA from 1 species